AUGACACCUGUGCCCAGGAUGGUGGGCCAGAAUAUAUAUGAUUUCUACUUAUCCUCAUCAUUCUGCCUGGAAUAUAAUCUUCCUGAAACAGUCUUUUCUUCUGAGAUGAAGAGAUUUUGUCAAAGAUUCAUGUGCUCCCAGCUGCCCAAUCAGGUCCUGAAGAACAUCAGCAUCAUUGACAGCCCUGGAAUCCUGUCUGGGGAGAAGCAGCGCAUCAGCCGAGGAGGAACACUCACUGGGGGAACUUCCUUCUCGUUUGAAGGGGAAAGUGGUACAAGGCUCAUGGAGAUAUAUUUUGGACAAGGCAUCGGAUCUUUUCACAAUUGUCAUCAUACCGCAUGAACAGAUAUUUUUUCUAAUACAAUAUCCAGAACCCUCUGUAUUUAGGCAGAAUCAAGGUCUCUGGAUACCCUAUGCUGGUCAGGCUCGCUGUGAGGGCAGGGAAUGGAAAGUGAGUGACUUUUCACAUUCUAUCUUUUGUAUCUUUUGAAUUUUGUGUUGUGAACAUGUAUCAUUUUAUUUCAAAAAUUAAGCUGUUGGGGAUCCCUGGGUGGCGCAGCGGUUUGGCGCCUGCCUUUGGCCCAGGGCGCGAUCCUGGAGACCCGGGAUCGAAUCCCACAUUGGGCUCCCGGUGUAUGGAGCCUGCUUCUCCCUCUGCCUGUGUCUCUCUGCCUCUCUCUCUCUCUCUGUGACUAUCAUAAAUAAAUAAAAAUUAAAAACAAAAACA
ensembl:lncRNA